ACAGCAGCACCUUCACAUCGAACGAGCAGGACACAGAGACAGAGAGCAGCUACUCCACUCACUAGUAAUCGGUGUUAAUACAGCAGCACCUUCACAUCGAACGAGCAGGACACAGAGACAGAGAGCAGCUACUCCACUCACUAGUAAUCGGUGUUAAUACAGCAGCACCUUCACAUCGAACGAGCAGGACACAGAGACAGAGAGCAGCUACUCCACUCACUAGUAAUCGGUGUUAAUACAGCAGCACCUUCACAUCGAACGAGCAGGACACAGAGACAGAGAGCAGCUACUCCACUCACUAGUAAUCGGUGUUAAUACAGCAGCACCUUCACAUCGAACGAGCAGGACACAGAGACAGAGAGCAGCUACUCCACUCACUAGUAAUCGGUGUUAAUACAGCAGCACCUUCACAUCGAACGAGCAGGACACAGAGACAGAGAGCAGCUACUCCACUCACUAGUAAUCGGUGUUAAUACAGCAGCACCUUCACAUCGAACGAGCAGGACACAGAGACAGAGAGCAGCUACUCCACUCACUAGUAAUCGGUGUUAAUACAGCAGCACCUUCACAUCGAACGAGCAGGACACAGAGACAGAGAGCAGCUACUCCACUCACUAGUAAUCGGUGUUAAUACAGCAGCACCUUCACAUCGAACGAGCAGGACACAGAGACAGAGAGCAGCUACUCCACUCACUAGUAAUCGGUGUUAAUACAGCAGCACCUUCACAUCGAACGAGCAGGACACAGAGACAGAGAGCAGCUACUCCACUC